GUGCCAGCCGCCGCGGUAAAACGUAGGUGGCAAGCGUUAUCCGGAUUUACUGGGCGUAAAGCAUGUGCAGACGGGUUGGUAAGUGGUGUAUGAAAGCGUCCGGCUUAACCGGGCAAGCGUAUGCCAGACUGCCAGUCUUGAGAGUGGGAGAGGGACGUGGAAUUCCGGGUGUAGUGGUGAAAUGCGUAGAGAUCCGGAGGAACCCCAGAGGCGAAGGCGGCGUCCUGGCCCAUUUCUGACGUUCAGACAUGACAGCAUGGGGAGCGAACGGGAUUAGAUACCCCCGUAGUCC
rnacentral:rRNA from 1 species